CAGAUAAAACAUUUAUUUUUCAGUACAUCUGCCAUAUAUUCAAUUUUAAUAUUAUAUAUAAUUUCUUGAUUUAAAAUUUGGAUUCCUAAGUUCCUUCCACUUUGAACUCACCAUGUCUCUGCCAUCAUCUCACAUUCUACUUUAUCACAUGAAAAUACUUUGAAGAUGCAUUCCCUGAACAUUAAACCCCAGCACUUUAACCAAUAACCAGCAAUAAACUAUUCCGUGGCUUAAGUUUUCAAGCCAGUUCUCUUUCAAACAGUGUAAAAAGCAUUUGUAGCAAUUUUAGCGUUCUCUGCCCUCACAAACCACACUUUACAAGCAUUUUUGUUGGAGACAAGAAGGAAACAUACAGAAUAACCACAUUCAAAAGAGCCAUGGUUUAACACUGUAAAAUGCUAAUUCUUCUUCAUCUGCCACAGCAUAUAAACUGCAGUGUAUCCAGUCCAGUGGCAGACAACACUAGAAAAGCUGGCAUCUUUAUAGUGCUUUCUAGCUUCAGAUGGCUGGUCUAAAUUAGACAUCCAACGUUGCCAGUCCCUUCAGAAAAACUGGAAGGAUUUUAAACAGGGUGAUUUGCUGCAGACCACCACGUCUGGGAAGUAUAAGGUAGUGCAAGUAUUUUUAAAGUACCUACAAGCUGGACAAACAGAAUCACCUAUGAUUACUCUUUAAUGCCUCCAGAUGCUUGAAAACAAAUGUCAUUUUUCAUUAAUAAACUGAGUUUGUGAUUACUCCAGCCUUUUUUUUUUUUUGCUAAAGUAGGGUAUCAAGGGAGGUAGGGAGGUGGAAGAGCAGGCUGAUGAGAAAACUUUUACAUACCCAAGUGUUCAGCUACAAUUUACUCAUGAACAUACAUGGAAUCUGCAAAGAAAGAUUCUAGACUUCCCUACCCUGAGGCUUUCAAGCAUUUUACUUACACAGAAAGGCUGAUCUAUUAAACCUGCCUCUGAUAUGGACAUCCCAAUCCCUUCAGCACUGCAUUUUUAUGCACGGGAAGCCUCUACAGUAAGAGGAGCAAUCAGUAAAUUACAUGAAACUUUGCCAGAGGAACUACCUACCCAUGAGAUAUUUCUCCCCAUGAGUACACAACUUCAUACCCCAGCUGUGACCCAGGCAUCUUGGCAGAAGGCUGGAAUACAAACCUGGCCUCAGUCUCAGAGUGUAACCACAGAACUAUCUUCUCCAUCAACAGGAGACUAUUGAAUCAGCUCCUUUAAUUCCUCUUGAUAGACGAACUUUCAUGCAUUUUCACCCGUCUUUCUUUCACCCAGAAAGAAAACUGUAAAUAUUUAGGCUUUUCAGAAAUAAAGAGGGCCAACUUCCUGAAUACGAUCUAUGCGCAGCAUUUUUACUAUCACAAGGAAAUGGAGAGCAAAGCUAUUUGAGUGCCAUCUGGGCAAACAACUUUCAUCUGCAUAAACACGUCUCAGCGAGUGCGAGUCCCAUGGGCAGGAUAUUUGCCACCAGCUUUCAGAUUCACAUGACGCAUCCCACAAACACUGUACUUUUGACUGACCUUUAACAAUCCUCUCCUCUUUCCCAAAAGGUGAGUAUUAUAAAAGCUGUACUGAAGUUUGGGUUUAACCCAUACAUCCUGUUUCUUGCUGGGCUGGGCCACGACAGUGAAUGAAGGAAGUGAGCAGCCCAGAGUUGCUGGGAACACCUGGCACAUUCUCAAGCUGAUCGUCAGCUAGAGGUGGUGAAACAUGAUGUGCCAGUCAUUGCUCUGUCUUGUCACAGCUGUUCCCCUCAAAUAGGCAGAAGUACCAUGAGGCCAUGUGGAAGGAAGAUAGCUAAGUUCAACUACAUUGCUUGCCUCUUCCGUCCAUCUUGGUGUCACCGGCAUCCAUGCUUUGCUGUGAGGAGCUGGAAGGAGGGAACAGCCAUCUCUCAUCUGCUCAAGCAUCAGGCUCCAAUGUAGUAACUGCUGUAUCUUGCUGAGAGGCUGGGCAGAAGUUUAAAAU
rnacentral:lncRNA from 7 species